CUGGCCCGCGGGACUGGGCUUCAACGGGGGCCUCCCCGGCCGGGCGCCCCCGGAGGACUUAGGGCCGGAGCCCGCUCGGGGCACGGCUGGCUGCGCGCCGCCUAGCGCGGCCGGGCUAGAGGCGCGGCGACCCAGCUGCCCGGUCCCAGCCCCGGCCUUGGGGACAGGCGGGCACAGCUCCCCCAGCCCGCCGCUUCGGGCACUGCAGCACCGCCCUGGCCGCCCCGCCUCGCCCCCCGCCGGCGCCUCGGAGCCCGACCCCAGCCCGAGCGCGGCGGACCGACCCGAGCGCGGCGGCCCCUGGCGCGCACCCAGCCGCUUGCGCUCCGGGCGCCCGGGGCUGCGCACCCGGGAGUCCGGAGCCACCCGGCCGCCCCCCGCCAGGCCCCUCCCCGCCUCCCGGCCGGCUCGUCCUCUGGCCCAGCCUUUCCCUGGCGCUCACCUCCCUCCAGCCUUCCGGGAGCUGGACGGGGCCUCUCGGGCAGCUUGCGACAGUGGCCGGAGACUGCGGGAAUCCGAAACCUCGUUUCUGGCUAGCCUCAAGUUCUGGGCGCGCCCUAAGCGGCAGGGUCUUGACCAAGCCCCUUAACCUCUGUGGGCCUCUGUUUUCUCACCCGAGAAAGAAGGGUGAGAGAGAAGAUCGUGAGAGAAGAAGAGCUGGAGACUGCGAGGAUAGGAGAAACUCGGGGUGGGGGGUGGGGGGGUAGGUGUCUCUUUAGCACACUCGGCCAAGUCUUGCUUUGCGCUUUGGUUUUCUGUGCGCUUGAUUCAUCCUCUCCUAUCUGGCAGAUUCAGACAGCUCAGUGCCCGGCACAGCGUGGGUGGUGAAGCCUUGGUGGAAUGAAUGAAUGAAGGGGCAUGGGCUGCAGCCUGUACCUUGCUGGGGCAGAGUGCUCAGUUCCACAGCACGCUAACUCGAGCGUGAGGCUUGCUGUCACGUGGAUGGUCCUGUUUGGAUGCUGGGACUGGUGCCCUCCACUCCAUGGAGUCUCUGGGGCUCAGCACGAGGACCGGCUCGGUAUAGCCACCACGGAAAAUCUUUUGCUGGAAGGAAGGGCCGUCAAACUCAGGGAAGCUGGGCCCCUCUGAUUGGGCCUCACCAGUCUGGGCAGGUCUUUCUACAUUCCGGUCCUUUGGGAGUUCAUGCCACGAUGCUGUCACUUGGAUGGUCAGAUGCCCCUACCUGGUGUCUAACCUCAGUCUGUCCUGCUUUCUCUGCCCGGAACCUUGGCAUUUCUUCGCCUCCCUUCUCUCAGAUCUCUUCUAGCAUGAGGAGAAAAACGAACCCAAAUAUCCUGUGGUUCUAGGUUCUGGACCCAUACUUGAUGUGCUAAUCAUUUCACCCUGCGGUGGUUCGAAACUCUACCCCCAGCCCCAGGAGACACUGUGUAUCUCUUCUCCACCCCUCUGAGGGAUGCGGGUCCUCACGGAACAGGGCCCGUGGCAUCUGGCCGAGGGUCCCUCUGUGCACCCUGGCUUGAAGGUCCAGGGGCUUGUGCACUGACCGGCCUCAGGUUGUGGCUUUGGUCCCCGACAGGGCUCCUGCUCUUGCCUAUCCUUCCCCCCCUUCCUGUCUGGAUCGAAUCCUGGAAGCUGGUCCCCCUCUACCUUUGUCCUCUUGUCUCCUCCCGACUCCACUCACUGACUCGGCCUGGAGCUUGCUCCUUCCUUCCAGAAACGGACCUGUGGACACACACAGGGGCUGAGCAUUCUGCUUGCAUCUUGAAGAUGGCUUGAGCUAAGAGGUUCCCUUUGGGAAGCGGAGCGGUGUCUGGGGAACACGGAAGCAUCUUAUGUGCUAUGCCUCACGCCAGGAGGUUGAGCCCGAGCCUGUGUUCAAGCCACCGUCAGGACCCAACCUAGGAAAUGAGCUCUUCAGGCUGGCAAGGCCCUGUCAGACCCUCCCUUACCCAGGCAGGAGGGUGGGCGGUGUGAACUUGACUUUUCCUCAGAGGUAAUUUGCGUUACCUACAUGCAAGGCCUCAGACACCUGUGAUGCUGGAGUCUCAGAAAAAGAAAAAGCCUGACCUGUAAGAAAAUAUUCAAGGGAAGUAAGAAGAGGCAUUCUGUUAAGUUCGUGGAAACAAGGAUUUUGACCGGCAGUGAAGAAUGACUGCAUAUGGCACCAGAUUGCUCUUGAACGUUUAUCUUCUUGACUUGUUUUUAUCAGAACCUUCAAAGAAUGGGUUGUGAAACUGCUUUAAUAGAGGACUUAAUUUUCUUUACAUUCCCGGUUAGAACUAGUGAUGUUAAUUUGUUGUUAAUUUCUCAUGCUUAUAGCCGAAAUCCAAGGAGGACAAAAAAGGA
ensembl:lncRNA